ACGAACGCUGGCGGCGUGCCUAAUACCUGCAAGUCGAGCGAAGUUUUUCUGGUGCUUGCCCUAGAAAAACUUAGCGGCGAACGGGUGAGUAACACGUAAAGAACCUGCCUCAUAGACUGGGACAACUAUUGGAAACGAUAGCUAAUACCGGAUAACAGUAUUUCUCGCAUGAGAGAUAUUUAAAAGUUGGUUAUGCUAACACUAUGAGAUGGCUUUGCGGUGCAUUAGCUAGUUGGUGGGGUAAAGGCCCACCAAGGCGACGAUGCAUAGCCGACCUGAGAGGGUGAUCGGCCACACUGGGACUGAGACACGGCCCAGACUCCUACGGGAGGCAGCAGUAGGGAAUCUUCCGCAAUGGGCGAAAGCCUGACGGAGCAACGCCGCGUGAGUGAAGAAGGAUUUCGGUUCGUAAAGCUCUGUUGUUAGGGAAGAAUGGAUAUGUAGUAACUAUACAUGUAAGAGACGGUACCUAACCAGAAAGCCACGGCUAACUACGUG
rnacentral:rRNA from 1 species